rnacentral:rRNA from 1 species
AUGUACCGGGGCUAAACGUGCCGCCGAAGCUGCGGGAUGACCGUUGGUCAUCGGUAGGGGAGCGUUCUAAGGGCGUUGAAGCCAGACCGGAAGGACUGGUGGAGCGCUUAGAAGUGAGAAUGCCGGUGUGAGUAGCGAAAACAGAGGUGAGAAUCCUCUGCACCGAAAGCCUAAGGGUUCCUGAGGAAGGUUCGUCCGCUCAGGGUUAGUCGGGACCUAAGCCGAGGCCGAAAGGCGUAGGUGAUGGGCAACAGGUUGAGAUUCCUGUACCACCUCCUCACCGUUUGAGCAAUGGGGGGACGCAGGAAGGUAGGGCGAGCAGGCUGCUGGAAUAGCCUGUCCAAGCGGUUAGGCUGCCAGAUAGGCAAAUCCGUCUGGCAUAAAGGCUGAGCCGUGAUGGCGAAGGGACCAUCGGUCCCGAAGUCCCCGAUCCUACACUGCCAAGAAAAGCCUCUAGCGAGGUGAGAGGUGCCCGUACCGCAAACCGACACAGGUAGGCGAGGAGAGAAUCCUAAGGUGCGCGGGAGAACUCUCGUUAAGGAACUCGGCAAAAUGACCCCGUAACUUCGGGAGAAGGGGUGCUCUCUUGGGUGAUGAGCCCGAGAGAGCCGCAGUGAAAAGGCCCAAGCGACUGUUUAUCAAAAACACAGGUCUCUGCGAAGCCGAAAGGCGAAGUAUAGGGGCUGACACCUGCCCGGUGCUGGAAGGUUAAGGGGAGCGCUUAAGCCGCAAGGCUGAAGGUGCGAACCGAAGCCCCAGUAAACGGCGGCCGUAACUAUAACGGUCCUAAGGUAGCGAAAUUCCUUGUCGGGUAAGUUCCGACCCGCACGAAAGGUGUAACGACUUGGGCACUGUCUCAACGAGAGACCCGGUGAAAUCAUACUACCUGUGAAGAUGCAGGUUACCCGCGACAGGACGGAAAGACCCCGUGGAGCUUUACUGCAGCCUGAUAUUGAAUUUUGGUAUCGCUUGUACAGGAUAGGUGGGAGCCUGAGAAGCCGGAGCGCCAGCUUCGGUGGAGGCGGCGGUGGGAUACCACCCUGGCGAUAUUGAAAUUCUAACCCGCACCCCUUAGCGGGGUGGGAGACAGUGUCAGGCGGGCAGUUUGACUGGGGCGGUCG